rnacentral:rRNA from 1 species
UACGUAGGGUGCAAGCGUUGUCCGGAGUUAUUGGGCGUAAAGGGCUCGUAGGCGGUCUGUUGAGUCGGAUGUGAAAACCCAGGGCUCAACCCUGGGCCUGCAUUCGAUACGGGCAGACUAGAGUAUGGCAGGGGAGACUGGAAUUCCUGGUGUAGCGGUGAAAUGCGCAGAUAUCAGGAGGAACACCGGUGGCGAAGGCGGGUCUCUGGGCCAAAACUGACGCUGAGGAGCGAAGGCGUGGGGAGCGAACAGG